UACGUAGGGUGCGAGCGUUGUCCGGAAUUAUUGGGCGUAAAGAGCUCGUAGGCGGUCUGUCGCGUCUGCUGUGAAAACUCAGGGCUUAACCCUGAGCUUGCAGUGGGUACGGGCAGACUAGAGUGCGGUAGGGGAGACUGGAAUUCCUGGUGUAGCGGUGAAAUGCGCAGAUAUCAGGAGGAACACCGAUGGCGAAGGCAGGUCUCUGGGCAUUAACUGACGCUGAGGAGCGAAAGCAUGGGGAGCGAACAGG
rnacentral:rRNA from 1 species